AAACCAAAACUCAAAAAAAAAGUUCAACGCCUUUUCUUCUGUUCCAUCUCAUCUGCCGCUGUAGAUAACGAGAUACUCAAGGCCGCGACAGCACGGGGCCGGGGAGCCACUGCAGCGGCGACACGGAGAGGAGGUGCGGUGGCUACGGAUUCAACAUCAGGGAAAGCAAAUGCGGCAGGUAUGGUGUCAACAGCAGUGACGCAGAUGCGGAAGGGGGUGCGGCAGCUGCGCCAGACCAGAGGAGUUCGAGUGGCGCAGGUGAACCUUCUUCGCCGGCCUCCUUCACAGCUCCGUCACCGACGAGACGAUGUUCCACGGCGCCGGCGGCUUGUACAACGGCAGCUGCUCCUUCUUCAGUGGCACUUCUGGGCAUAGCCGAUGUCUCAGCAAUUGGUGUAUAAUCAAUUUUCUAAUCCUGCAAAUUGGGCUGAUAUCAAAGAAGAAAUUAUUUGCUCACAAUUGAGAUUAGUAUCCUGCUGUUCAUGAUGUGCUACUGUCCAGUUUUUCAAAUAGCAGAACCAGCAACUGAAUUUCCAAGCCAAAUCAAUGGCUAUGAAUUAUUUGAUAUAUUGUGUAUUCUCCUAUGUAUGCAACACAAUGGCUAUUAAGAUCAAAUUAUGUACUAGAUCACCAUGAUUCA